rnacentral:rRNA from 1 species
AUUGAACGCUGGCGGCAGGCUUAACACAUGCAAGUCGAGCGGGGGAAGGUAGCUUGCUACUGGACCUAGCGGCGGACGGGUGAGUAAUGCUUAGGAAUCUGCCUAUUAGUGGGGGACAACAUCUCGAAAGGGAUGCUAAUACCGCAUACGUCCUACGGGAGAAAGCAGGGGAUCUUCGGACCUUGCGCUAAUAGAUGAGCCUAAGUCGGAUUAGCGAGUUGGUGGGGUAAAGGCCUACCAAGGCGACGAUCUGUAGCGGGUAGGAGAGGAUGAUCCGCCACACUGGGACUGAGACACGGCCCAGACUCCUACGGGAGGCAGCAGUGGGGAAUAUUGGACAAUGGGGGGAACCCUGAUCCAGCCAUGCCGCGUGUGUGAAGAAGGCCUUAUGGUUGUAAAGCACUUUAAGCGAGGAGGAGGCUACUUUAGUUAAUACCUAGAGAUAGUGGACGUUACUCGCAGAAUAAGCACCGGCUAACUCUGUGCCAGCCGCCGCCGUAA